rnacentral:lncRNA from 1 species
GUUUUUAGGCAGUGCCAGUGGCUGCAAAGAGAGAAGUCAAGAGCAUUUCAGUAAUUGUGUCGUCACAGAGUUUAAAUGCUGACAUAACUGCAAGCAUGUGUCGUGUCCCGCUGAUGGUUUUUCUCAGCUUUAUUGUGCUCCACUCUGUGUCGGCUGGAGGUGCUUAUUGUGCUAAAACAGCGAGAGCACGUGCAGCUGCUUUGGGUCUGGCCUAUCCUGGAGUCAAUGGAGCCCCUGAUCUCUUUGGACCAGCUGGUGAUCUUGAACGGGCUGAGCCUGAACGUUACAUGGCCUCCUACAGACAGCCAGGAGGAAGCCCCUUUGAUUACACUGUACAUAAACAAGCUCAGCCCAGGAGAUCUGACAGACUCCCACUGAGUCAUGCCACUUACAAACCCGGUCACAGUCGACUCUUCACCAGUGACCAAAUGCUCAGCUUCCCCCGAGGAUACUCAGUCAAUAACCGCAAGUCCAGUUUUGAGGAGGUCAAGCACAUUGCCCUACCAACGCCGGUUGAAGCCUUCGGCCAGUCUGACCUUGUGAGUCGGUAUCCUGAAGGUCACACCAAGCCGCUCUCAUUUGUCUACAAUGAGCACAACCUUGUUGUUGACGAGUCUGCCCCAAAUAGACGUGGCAUGUCUCUGACUGGGCUCCCCCAACCCCAAAGCAAGGGUCAUGGCGCUGACCAGAGGGGCCGUGGAAGAGAUGUGGCUGUCCUUGGUUCAUCUCGCAUCAACAACAGAGGCCGAGCCAGACCAAUGACACGCCAAGGCCCUGCAUCUGGGAGCUGGGAAAGGAUUAGGCUUCCUGGUCAUCUUGCUCAGCAUCUGGGCAGAAAUCCUAAUGUCAAACACUUUGUGUAUGGUAGCCCCGUUGUUAGAUAUCUGAUGAAGCCAAAUCAUGUCCAGUUAGGAUAAGUCGGUGAAAUAAAGGGCCUGACGUAGCUCA